UACGUAGGGCGCGAGCGUUGUCCGGAAUUAUUGGGCGUAAAGAGCUCGUAGGCGGUUCGUCGCGUCGGCUGUGAAAUCCCGAGGCUCAACCUCGGGUCUGCAGUCGAUACGGGCGGACUGGAGUUCGGCAGGGGAGACUGGAAUUCCUGGUGUAGCGGUGAAAUGCGCAGAUAUCAGGAGGAACACCGGUGGCGAAGGCGGGUCUCUGGGCCGAUACUGACGCUGAGGAGCGAAAGCGUGGGGAGCGAACAGG
rnacentral:rRNA from 1 species